rnacentral:misc_RNA from 1 species
GAUGAAGAACGUAGCGAAAUGCGAUACUUGGUGUGAAUUGCAGAAUCCCGUGAACCAUCGAGUCUUUGAACGCAAGUUGCGCCCGAAGCCAUUAGGCCGAGGGCACGCCUGCCUGGGCGUCACACGUCGUUGCCCCCCCCAUCUACUCCUUCGGGAUUGCGGGGGGGCGGAUGAUGGCCUCCCGUGCGCCUAGCCGCGCGGUUGGCAUAAAUACCAAGUCCUCGGCGACGCACGCCACGACAAUCGGUGGUUGCGAAACCUCGGUUGCCCGUCGUGUGCGUUCGUCGCGCAUCGAGGGCUCGAAAAAAUGCUCGGCUCCGGCUGGGCUUUCAACGCGACCCCAGGUCAGGCGGGGUUACCCGCUGAAUUUAAGCAUAUCAAUAAGCGGAGGA